CUCUUUGCUAAAGCAGUGAAGUCUCCUAUUAGCCACUGUGACCAAGUGAGGCAUUAUCCAGCAUUAGCAUUCUUUCUCAGAUUAUUCACCCACCCUAGGCUUCCAUGUGACCCUGAAAUAAGGGACUUCACUUCCAAGUUUGGCCGAAGAUGCUAUCAGGGAAUCCAGGAUUCUGAUUAUGGUAACAUACCCUUCCCACCUCCUUUUCCUGUUCUUCCUCCUAAUGGAAAGGACAUGGGCUAUGAAGCAAGCAGACCUAACUUUGAACCCUGAGAGGCUAAUGAAGUUAUGAUGAUUUUCUAACAAAGGGAGUUCAUUCACAUUUAUGGUCUAUUGAUGUGGUGUUUCAAAAAACGUGUCCCAAAGAGGUCUUGCAUGUAAAGACAAUAGCACUAGUGCACAGUUUCAGCUUGCAAAGAGCUGUCAGUCUCAGGGUAAGAUGAGAGUAAACAUUGACAUGACAGUGUAAUGCAGUUAAUCUUUGAACUCUUAACCAAAAUUUCCCCCAAGCACCCACUCAUGCUUCUGGCUACCUGUGACUCCUUCCUUGUUCAGAUAACUGAACAAGUUGCCCCUGUGCCUCAGUGAAGGGAUGAUAUAGAAGAAUUAGAGAAAAAGUUUUCAAGUGUCUUGUUAAAAGCUUGCAGAACUCAGAGGGUCCAAUCCAGGAAAAAGCUGUUUCCUGGGAAAGAGGAGCAUGUGAAGAAGGCAUCACUAAGAACCUGAAGUCCAGUGGGGAUCCAGCAGACAUCAAUCCUUCUGGAGAAAAUUGAAGCACUAGGGUUGAGACUGAGUACAAGUAAAGUCUUGACAGAAAGAAAUGAGGUCCCUGCAGUCAUGUUUUUUACAGUCAGGGUGUAGUUAAGUUUCAUGUGAGAGAGAAAUAAACUUGUUUUGUCUUUUGGAGUUUUUCUUAUAUGUAUAUCCUAAUAAAUAUAAGGGAAGAAAAAUAUUGAACAAAUCAUCACUCAAGUAUACUCCAUAGAAUUUGGUCACUAGUGGGACCCCAAGAAGGGCCCUAUGAGCAGAGCUCCACAGCAAAUUUUUAAUCAGUUUUCAGUUUCACAAUUGUGUCCCCCACUGAUGGGUGCUUCAGCCUGGGCCCCCUAGAACCUAGACUGGGGACUGCAAAACUCAUUCCAAGUACGUUGGAGGGAUGAGUCAGUUACCUCUAGAUAGAUCUGGAGGACAGAGGCAAAGCCAGAGAAGCUGAAUCUGCAGUGGGGUCCCAGGAUCAAGUGUGGGUCUGGGAAGGAGGUGGGGAAGCUGGGACUGGAACCAAAGAGACCCAGGAGUGGAUCAGGAGGUGCAGAGCCAGGCAGGUGUGGAAGCUGCAGCUAGGAGGUUUCAGACACAACCGGGCUGGUUGCCUGGGGCUAUUUUUACUGGGGGCUUGGUGUGUGCAAGUGGCUUGCAGUUUCCUUGCCAUCUUGGGCUGAAGGGGUGGAGCUUGUGGGUGGGGAAGGUUUGUGUGACCCUCUAAUCCCUGACCCAAGGCCACAUGGGGAAACACAACACAUUCAACCUCUCCAGGGGAGCACACAGGCGGGGAUUGCAUGCUUUUGGCCUGGUGGUACCUGGCAACAAAAGAUGGCCCAUCCACAGCACUGUUUAGUAUUGUUGGCCAAUGAUUUAAAAAAGUUAGAGUUGCUAGUGGUAGGAAUAGUAAUGGAUAUAAGCACUGGGUAAGGAAAGGAAAGG
rnacentral:lncRNA from 10 species